AUUGAACGCUGGCGGCAGGCCUAACACAUGCAAGUCGAACGGUAACAGAAAGCAGCUUGCUGCUUUGCUGACGAGUGGCGGACGGGUGAGUAAUGUCUGGGAAACUGCCUGAUGGAGGGGGAUAACUACUGGAAACGGUAGCUAAUACCGCAUAACGUCGCAAGACCAAAGAGGGGGACCUUCGGGCCUCUUGCCAUCGGAUGUGCCCAGAUGGGAUUAGCUAGUGGGUGGGGUAACGGCUCACCUAGGCGACGAUCCCUAGCUGGUCUGAGAGGAUGACCAGCCACACUGGAACUGAGACACGGUCCAGACUCCUACGGGAGGCAGCAGUGGGGAAUAUUGCACAAUGGGCGCAAGCCUGAUGCAGCCAUGCCGCGUGUAUGAAGAAGGCCUUCGGGUUGUAAAGUACUUUCAGCGGGGAGGAAGGGAGUAAAGUUAAUACCUUUGCUCAUUGACGUUACCCGCAGAAGAAGCACCGGCUAACUCCGUG
rnacentral:rRNA from 1 species